GAGGAAUAUUGGACAAUGGGCGCAAGCCUGAUCCAGCCAUGCCGCGUGCAGGAAGACGGUCCUAUGGAUUGUAAACUGCUUUUGUACAGGAAGAAACACUCCCUCGUGAGGGAGCUUGACGGUACUGUAAGAAUAAGGAUCGGCUAACUCCGUGCCAGCAGCCGCGGUAAUACGGAGGAUCCAAGCGUUAUCCGGAAUCAUUGGGUUUAAAGGGUCCGUAGGCGGCUUUAUAAGUCAGUGGUGAAAGCCCAUCGCUCAACGAUGGAACGGCCAUUGAUACUGUAGAGCUUGAAUUAUUAGGAAGUAACUAGAAUAUGUAGUGUAGCGGUGAAAUGCUUAGAGAUUACAUGGAAUACCAAUUGCGAAGGCAGGUUACUACUAAUGGAUUGACGCUGAUGGACGAAAGCGUGGGGAGCGAAC
rnacentral:rRNA from 1 species